rnacentral:rRNA from 1 species
GAUGAACGCUGGCGGCGUGCCUAAUACAUGCAAGUCGAGCGAACAGACGAGGAGCUUGCUCCUCUGACGUUAGCGGCGGACGGGUGAGUAACACGUGGAUAACCUACCUAUAAGACUGGGAUAACUUCGGGAAACCGGAGCUAAUACCGGAUAAUAUAUUGAACCGCAUGGUUCAAUAGUGAAAGACGGUUUUGCUGUCACUUAUAGAUGGAUCCGCGCCGCAUUAGCUAGUUGGUAAGGUAACGGCUUACCAAGGCAACGAUGCGUAGCCGACCUGAGAGGGUGAUUGGCCACACUGGAACUGAGACACGGUCCAGACUCCUACGGGAGGCAGCAGUAGGGAAUCUUCCGCAAUGGGCGAAAGCCUGACGGAGCAACGCCGCGUGAGUGAUGAAGGUCUUCGGAUCGUAAAACUCUGUUAUCAGGGAAGAACAAAUGUGUAAGUAACUAUGCACGUCUUGACGGUACCUAAUCAGAAAGCCACGGCUAACUACGUG